CAGCAGCCGCGGUAAUACGAAGGGGGCUAGCGUUGCUCGGAAUGACUGGGCGUAAAGGGCGCGUAGGCGGUUUGUACAGUCAGAUGUGAAAUUCCUGGGCUUAACCUGGGGGCUGCAUUUGAUACGUGCAGGCUUGAGUGUGGAAGAGGGUUGUGGAAUUCCCAGUGUAGAGGUGAAAUUCGUAGAUAUUGGGAGGAACACCGGUGGCGAAGGCGGCGACCUGGCAUAAUACUGACGCUGAGGCGCGAAAGCGUGGGGAGCGAACAGGAUUAGAUACCCCUGUAGUCCCUGUCUCUUAUAA
rnacentral:rRNA from 1 species